rnacentral:rRNA from 1 species
AUGAACGCUAGCGGGAGGCCUCACACAUGCAAGCCGAGCGGUAGAGUUUCUUCGGAAACUUGAGAGCGGCGCACGGGUGCGUAACACGUGUGCAACCUACCUUUAUCUGGGGGAUAGCCUUUCGAAAGGAAGAUUAAUACCCCAUAAUAUAAUGAUUGGCAUCAAUUAUUAUUGAAAACUCCGGUGGAUAGAGAUGGGCACGCGCAAGAUUAGAUAGUUGGUGAGGUAACGGCUCACCAAGUCAAUGAUCUUUAGGGGUCCUGAGAGGGAGAUCCCCCACACUGGUACUGAGACACGGACCAGACUCCUACGGGAGGCAGCAGUGAGGAAUAUUGGACAAUGGGUGAGAGCCUGAUCCAGCCAUCCCGCGUGAAGGAUGACGGUCCUAUGGAUUGUAAACUUCUUUUGUACAGGGAUAAACCUACCCUCGUGAGGGUAGCUGAAGGUACUGUACGAAUAAGCACCGGCUAACUCCGUG